UGUGCUGUUUUUAUAAUAAUUCAUGAGUGCUGUUGAGAAGAGCUGCUGUUGAGUCUGAUAUCAGUGUGUGAGUCUCUUCUCUCUUUCUCUGCUGGAGUUUGUGUUUAUUUGAGUGUGACGGAGGUUUUUGUUCGACGCUUUCACUAGAAUGAAGCACUGUGGUACACUUUUGGUGGAGGAACUAAACUGACCAUCGCUGGUCCCGCAGUGAAGCCCUCCGUGUCUCUGCUGCCUCCCUCUUCUCUGCAGAUCUCUGGAGACUCAGCCGCACUGCUCUGUCUGCUCAGCUCUUACUCUCCACAGGGGGCGCAGGUGAGCUGGACGCUGGACGGGUCAGAGGUCACCGAGGGGGUUCAGACCAGCGCAGAGAGCGAGCGGGACGGACGCUACAGCCGCAGCAGCGUCCUGAGCCUCAGCAAAGCACGCUGGGAAGCCGGCGAGCGCUUCGUCUGCAGAGUAACACAUGACGGAGCUGAUCACGAGACCUCGUUCCUCAAGAGCUCCGAGUGCUGAUGUUUCUCCAGUGAAGAGCAGCAGGAUUCACAGCAGUCUCCUGAUUUACAGCUCAAUACUCAAGCAGUCUUUCAAUGUGCUGCCAUUGCUGUUCAUUCAAUAAAGCUUCUGAACGCCUUA